rnacentral:rRNA from 1 species
GUAGGGUGCGAGCGUUGUCCGGAAUUAUUGGGCGUAAAGAGCUUGUAGGCGGUUUGUCGCGUCUGCUGUGAAAAUCCGGGGCUCAACCCCGGACUUGCAGUGGGUACGGGCAGACUAGAGUGUGGUAGGGGAGACUGGAAUUCCUGGUGUAGCGGUGAAAUGCGCAGAUAUCAGGAGGAACACCGAUGGCGAAGGCAGGUCUCUGGGCCACUACUGACGCUGAGAAGCGAAAGCAUGGGGAGCGAACAGGAUUAGAUACCCUGGUAGUCCAUGCCGUAAACGUUGGGCGCUAGGUGUGGGRCUCAUUCCACGAGUUCCGUGCCGCAGCUAACGCAUUAAGCGCCC